rnacentral:tRNA from 1 species
GGUGGCUCAGUGGUAGAGUGCUUGUCUUGCAUGCAUGAGGCCUUGGGUUCGAUUCCUCAGAACCA